rnacentral:lncRNA from 1 species
GUGCCCACUGGUAUUCUGAGUGGUGCACGUGGACCUCCUGCCUCUCCUACGGACCCAAGGCCGUGAACCCAUUUACAGCUGAGGAGUGACGCUGGGAGAUCCUUCGCCUUGGCCUGGUGAGGAGUGUGGGCAGGUGUCGUCGGGGCUCCGCGUGUCUCUGGAGCUGACUGAGAGGCGCAGUGUGUCCGAGGCCCUGGGAGUUGAGUCUGUAGGGCAGGUCUGUGGGGAGCUCGCUGGGGGGGCUGCCCUCUAGGGAGGAGCUGGGUUUGCUGGUGCGGAGUCAGCUUCGCUGGUCACCACGGCCUGAACCUCAGGCAGAGAUCCCGAGUACAGCCCGGGGUCUGGUGUGAUGGCGUGGACAGGACUUCCGAAGCCCUCUCCAGGCCUGGGCUGUGCACAUGGCCAGCGGACGUGGGUCGGAGGGGCUCUGGGCAGUGCUGCCUGGAGUUAAGCUCUGCAGAGGGGACAAGAGCCCCAGGGCUGAGGGUAGCUCCCCUCUGUGCCUGGGCUGGUGGGAGCAGCCAGUGGGCGUCACGGGAUGACGACGUCAGGGAGAAGGAGGCUCAGGAAAAGGUUUGCAAGACUUCACUGGCUCACAGAGGGAAGUCGAGUCCCGCCAGCCAGUUGCGUCAUUCUGUUGCUUCCAAACUUCCUCCUUGGACUUCCUCAUUUCUGUAAGAGGCAGCGUCUCCCGGGCUCCUCCAUCCACUCCUCGGGGUCAUUCCUGCUUCCUCUCCCUCUUCUCUGACCCACAGCUCCUCCUCUGACCCUGUGGACUCUGCUCCGUGCUCGUCACUAGUGCUCCUGGGAGGAGAUCCGCCGGCGUCUGCUCAAGAAUGGGGGUGGCCUUGAUCACUUGUCAACCUGGAGCAGGAAACAGCCCCCCACCAUCCUCCUCACAGGGCGAGGGUGAUGGCAGCUUCUAGGAGGGCAGUUCCCGAGACGAGGAAGAGUCUCCCUCUGAAGGGCUUUCCAUCGAGGAGUCCGGUGCGGGGAAGGGCUCCUCUCCUCCCCAGACCUGCCCUCCGAGCCCAGAACAUGACCGAGAAGCAGUCCUGCUCCCCGGGUCAUCACGACUAGGAUCUGAACGCUCACGUGUUGAAGGCCUGUCCCCGUGCAGGGUGUUCGCCUUUGAGGGGUGAUUGGUUGGAUCAUGGGGGCUCUGACUUCAUCAACGGAUUAAUCCACUCAGGGAUUCAUAUUCUGAGGUUUUGAGGAAAGGAUUUUGUUAUAAAAGUGAGUGCACUGUUCUCUCUGUCUCUCUCCCCGCCAUGUUGUUCUGCCCCAUCACAGCCCAUAACAAUGGGUCCAGGGUCCAGGGGCUGAAAUCUCUGACACUAUGAGCCAAAAUGAACCUUUCCUGCUCGAAGAUGGUGUUUUUCAGGCAUUUUGUCACUGCAACAGAAAGCUGGCUAAAAGGUGGGUGGAAUGGAGAGAACCACAGACCCGUACAGGAUGCUGGGGUGCAGCAGAUCCUAUACCCAGCUAAACUAUCACCCAACCUGCUGGUGGAAAUUUCACCAGUGUGAUGGCACCUGAGCCCGGUGGAACUUAGGGCUUGUCUAAUUUGGAGCGACUUCCAUUUCACUUAAUCCUCUGGGGACAGCUGCCUGCACCGCUACCACCAUUGCUGCCUCUGCUUCUGCUGCUGCCAGCCUGAGGUCGCCUGGGGGUCUUCUUUCUAGGCUAGGGCAGAAGCCACUGCUGCGCCCAGAGGUCUCUUCCUGGGCACGGCCUUGGUUACCCCGGACAUGAGUUCCCUCACUACCUCAAAACUACUCUACGAUUUCAUCUCACCCCUGUCAGAAUGGCAAUCAUCAAGAAUUCAGGCAGCAAUAAAUGUUGGUGAGGAUGUGGGGUAAAGGCACACUCAUAUACUGCUGGUGGGACUGCAAAUUAGAAAGCAGUAUGGAGAUCUGAAAAGAAAACUGGGAAUGGAACAUACAACAUACCAUGUGCACGCCGCCCGGAACUCCUAAGGGAAGGAAAAUGAGAAGAAGAACCCAAGGACGGCGGGAAUCGCCCACAUUUGGAGGAACCUGAGGACCACGUGGGCCCUGGACUGUAUUCUGAGCAUCCGGGUCUCAGCACUGGCUUGAGGCUGAAACGGGGCGAGGACCGGGAUUUUGCAUAGAACAUAGCCCAGCUGAGGAGGAACACAGCCUCGAAUCCUGCGAUUCCUCAGACUUUGAAAUGUGCUCAGUGAAAGGCAGACACCAAGUGCCCGGUGGCAAGGGGGUCCACCCACAGGCCACAGGCCAAGGAGGUCAUCCAGAUGCAGAAAGCAGGAGCUGGGGCGUGGGAACGUGGGGACCGCUUACCGGGCACAGGGUUCUCUUUGGGGGCUAAAAUGUCUGGGAACUAAACACAGGUGGAGAGAGCGUGAUGUGCUGUGUGCUCAGUGUCGCUGGACCGUGCACUUCCAAGUGCUCAGUGGCUACUUGGGUUAUAUAAAUUAUGGUUCAAUAACAAAAAGGGGAAAAUGAUAUGAUACCCUAUAAAUUCCUUACACCUUAAGGAGGCACCUCAUGUCCUAUUGGGGAGUUCGGGCAAUAAAGGAGUUUCUGUUUGAACCUACAAGUGCCUCAUGGCGGCUCGGUUAUUUUGUGCCCAGCCAGACUGUGGCAACCUUUGCUCCCACUCUCACAGGGUGUCUGGUCUGAUUCCCAGGUUUUUGAUCCACUCUGAGUUGAGUCUUGUGCCUGGUGAGAGAGCGGGGUUUAGCGUCCGUCUGCUGCUUGUGGC